AACGAACGCUGGCGGCAUGCCUAACACAUGCAAGUCGAACGAGACCUUCGGGUCUAGUGGCGCACGGGUGCGUAACGCGUGGGAAUCUGCCCUUUGCUUCGGAAUAACACUGAGAAAUUUGUGCUAAUACCGGAUAAUGUCGAAAGACCAAAGAUUUAUCGGCAAAGGAUGAGCCCGCGUAGGAUUAGCUAGUUGGUGGGGUAAUGGCCUACCAAGGCGACGAUCCUUAGCUGGUCUGAGAGGAUGAUCAGCCACACUGGGACUGAGACACGGCCCAGACUCCUACGGGAGGCAGCAGUGGGGAAUAUUGGACAAUGGGCGAAAGCCUGAUCCAGCAAUGCCGCGUGAGUGAUGAAGGCCUUAGGGUUGUAAAGCUCUUUUACCAGGGAUGAUAAUGACAGUACCUGGAGAAUAAGCUCCGGCUAACUCCGUGCCAGCAGCCGCCGUAAGAC
rnacentral:rRNA from 1 species